rnacentral:rRNA from 1 species
GUGGGGAAUUGUUCGCAAUGGGCGCAAGCCUGACGACGCAACGCCGCGUGGAGGAUGAAGAUCUUCGGAUCGUAAACUCCUGUCGAGCGGGACGAACGGCCCGCGACCUAAUACGUCGCGGGAGUGACGGUACCGCUAAAGGAAGCCCCGGCUAACUCCGUGCCAGCAGCCGCGGUAAUACGGGGGGGGCAAGCGUUGUUCGGAAUUACUGGGCGUAAAGGGCUCGUAGGCGGCCAACUAAGUCGGACGUGAAAUCCCUCGGCUCAACCGGGGAACUGCGUCCGAUACUGGAUGGCUUGAAUUCGGGAGAGGGAUGCGGAAUUCCAGGUGUAGCGGUGAAAUGCGUAGAUAUCUGGAGGAACACCGGUGGCGAAGGCGGCAUCCUGGACCGAUAUUGACGCUGAGGAGCGAAAGCCAGGGUAGCAAACGGGAUUAGAAACCCUAGUAGUCC